GUGGGGAAUUUUGGACAAUGGGCGCAAGCCUGAUCCAGCAAUGCCGCGUGCAGGAAGAAGGCCUUCGGGUUGUAAACUGCUUUUGUACGGAACGAAACGGUCCGGGUUAAUACCCUGGGCUAAUGACGGUACCGUAAGAAUAAGCACCGGCUAACUACGUUCCAGCAGCCGCGGUAAUACGUAGGGUGCAAGCGUUAAUCGGAAUUACUGGGCGUAAAGCGUGCGCAGGCGGUUUUGUAAGACAGGCGUGAAAUCCCCGGGCUCAAACGGGGAAUUGCGCUUGUGACUGCAAGGCUGGAGUGCGGCAGAGGGGGAUGGAAUUCCGCGUGUAGCAGUGAAAUGCGUAGAUAUGCGGAGGAACACCGAUGGCGAAGGCAAUCCCCUGGGCCUGCACUGACGCUCAUGCACGAAAGCGUGGGGAGCAAACAGGAUUAGAAACCCGAGUAGUCC
rnacentral:rRNA from 1 species